AGUGAGCGCUGGCGGUAGGCCUAACACAUGCAAGUCGAACGGCAGCACAGGAGAGCUCGCUCUCUGGGUGGCGAGUGGCGGACGGGUGAGGAAUACAUCGGAAUCUACUCUGUCGUGGGGGAUAACGUAGGGAAACUUACGCUAAUACCGCAUACGACCUACGGGUGAAAGCAGGGGACCUUCGGGCCUUGCGCGAUUGAAUGAGCCGAUGUCGGAUUAGCUAGUUGGCGGGGUAAAGGCCCACCAAGGCGACGAUCCGUAGCUGGUCUGAGAGGAUGAUCAGCCACACUGGAACUGAGACACGGUCCAGACUCCUACGGGAGGCAGCAGUGGGGAAUAUUGGACAAUGGGCGCAAGCCUGAUCCAGCCAUACCGCGUGGGUGAAGAAGGCCUUCGUGUUGUAAAGCCCUUUUGUUGGGAAAGAAAUCCAGCUGGCUAAUACCCGGUUGGGAUGACGGUACCCAAAGAAUAAGCACCGGCUAACUUCGUGCCAGCCGCCGCCGUAA
rnacentral:rRNA from 1 species